rnacentral:ribozyme from 2 species
GCUUUAACUCCGCCUGUAGUAUCUCCAGAGGUCACUGACGGUCCCAAGCCCGGUUAGAGGAGGAGGGCUGAGC